rnacentral:rRNA from 1 species
GAUGAACGCUGGCGGCGUGCCUAAUACAUGCAAGUCGAGCGAACGGACGAGAAGCUUGCUUCUCUGAUGUUAGCGGCGGACGGGUGAGUAACACGUGGAUAACCUACCUAUAAGACUGGGAUAACUUCGGGAAACCGGAGCUAAUACCGGAUAAUAUUUUGAACCGCAUGGUUCAAAAGUGAAAGACGGUCUUGCUGUCACUUAUAGAUGGAUCCGCGCUGCAUUAGCUAGUUGGGAAGGUAACGGCUUACCAAGGCAACGAUGCAUAGCCGACCUGAGAGGGGGAUCGGCCACACUGGAACUGAGACACGGACCAGACGCCUACGGGAGGCAGCAGUAGGGAAUCUUCCGCAAUGGGCGAAAGCCUGACGGAGCAACGCCGCGUGAGUGAUGAAGGUCUUCGGAUCGUAAAACUCUGUUAUUAGGGAAGAACAUAUGUGUAAGUAACUGUGCACAUCUUGACGGUACCUAAUCAGAAGGCCACGGCUAACUACGUG